CCUACGGGAGGCAGCAGUGGGGAAUAUUGCACAAUGGGGGAAACCCUGAUGCAGCAACGCCGCGUGAGGGAGGAAGUAUUUCGGUAUGUAAAGCCCUAUCAGCAGGGAAUAGAAAAGAAGGUACUUGAAAAUGAAGCCCCGGCUACUUACGUGCCAGCAGCCGCGGUAUUACGGAGGGGGCAAGCGUUAUCCGGAUUUACUGGCUGUAAAGGGAGCGUAGGCGGAGAGGCAAGUCAGUAGUGAAAGCCCGAGGCUCAACCAUGGGACUGCUUUUGAAACUGUCAAACUAGAGUACGGGAGAGGUAAGUGGAAUGCGUAGUGUAGCGGUGAAAUGCGUAGAUAUUAGGAGGAACACCAGUGGCGAAGGCGUCUUGCUGGACCGAAACUGACGUUGAGGCACGAAAGCGUGGGGAGCAAACAGGAUUAGAUACCCCUGUAGUC
rnacentral:rRNA from 1 species